rnacentral:lncRNA from 1 species
GGGCAUGUAUAACAUAUAUCAAGUGUUUGGUGUAACAAUAUAUAUACUUUGUCAAGCACAUUAAUUUUUGUAUUAUUGUGCAUUGUCUUCAUUACGAAUUUUCUAUCGAACGAUAAGUAUAAAAAUAAAAGUACAAAUAUUUUGGACUUCACCUUUCUCAAGAAUUAGAUAUUGUAUGUCCAAAUUGCAUGAGAAUGAUCAUAUACACACUACUGCAAGAAAAGAUCAUUAGUCCGACUCGAAAAAUAAACACGAUAACGAUAUAUACAACAGAAAAAAGAACAAAAAAAAUCCUACAACAAGUCCAUCAACAUUUCAUCGGGAAACACCAUUUUUGAUGAAUUCUCGACGAAAGUGCUUCGUUUGGACUAUCUCCUUGAAAAAAAUCCGUCAAAAAUUACUUGAUGAUCUCGAGGAGUUUCCAACAAAUUUCUAUAGACAUAUAUUCGAUGAAAUUCUAAAGAAACUUAUCGUGAAAACACAAUCAACAAUUCCU